rnacentral:ncRNA from 1 species
AGAUAACUCCGAGUCCUCACGGCGAGGAUAGGAGUAACGGCUGCGUGUCACAGCCCUCGACACACCUGUUCGACCGCGAGAGCGGGACAUUCAAACCGAGAGAACAGGUCGUGUCGUAGACCAGCAAAUAUCCCACCCACGGUACGGGAAGCCGCGUCCUUCAGGGCGCGGA